GGGUUAGUAGGUUGGUCAUGCCUCUGGUAUGUACUGGUCUCACUGAUUCCUCCUUCCUGAUGAACCUUAAUGCCAUUUAUUUGGUGUUUUGGGGGAUUUGGACUGUUACUUUGAAAAAAUUAGAGUGUUUAAAGCAAGCUCACGCUUGAAUACAUUAGCAUGGAAUAAUGAAAUAGGACAUUGUAUUCUAUUUUGUUGGUUUCUAGGAUCGAUGUA
rnacentral:misc_RNA from 1 species